AGAGUUUGAUCCUGGCUCAGGAUGAACGCUAGCGGGAGGCCUAACACAUGCAAGUCGAACGGGAUCCCCGAGCAAUCGGGGUGAGAGUGGCGCACGGGUGAGUAACGCGUAUGCAACCUACCUGUAACAGAGGGAUAGCCCAUAGAAAUGUGGAUUAACACCUCAUAGUUCUUAUUAGUCGCAUGACUGACAAGAUAAAACUCCGGUGGUUACAGAUGGGCAUGCGUGACAUUAGCUAGUUGGUAAGGUAACGGCUCACCAAGACAUCGAUAGGUAGGGGUCCUGAGAGGGAGAUCCCCCACACUGGUACUGAGACACGGACCAGACUCCUACGGGAGGCAGCAGUGAGGAAUAUUGGACAAUGGGCGCAAGCCUGAUCCAGCCAUGCCGCGUGCAGGAAGACGGCCCUAUGGGUGUAAACUUCUUUUAUCUGGGACGAAAAGGCGAUUCUUCGUCACUUGACGGUACCAGAUGAAUAAGCACCGGCUAACUCCGUGCCAGCA
rnacentral:rRNA from 1 species